rnacentral:tRNA from 1 species
AGUUAAUUAGUUAAUUUAAAACAGUUACUUUGAAAGUAAAAGAAAAGGAUUAAUAUCCUAUUAACUU